rnacentral:piRNA from 1 species
UCAGAGAUGUGUGUCCUCAAUUAGCCU